rnacentral:rRNA from 1 species
AUGGGUGGAUUGCUAAGUUCAUAUCAACAAGUACAAGAAUGGAAGGCCAUCGAAGAAAGUAAUAUUAGGGAUAUUGUUAGAGGGAAAGAUGAGAUCAUGUCCAUCCUAAAGUUGAGCUAUACACACCUAUCAUCUGAAAUGAAGCAAUGUUUUGCAUUCUUAGCAAUUUUUCCCAAGGACUAUAAGAUAGAUAAGGACAUGUUGAUCCAGCUAUGGAUGGCAAAUGGUUUUAUUCAAGAGAAGGAAACAAUGGAUUUAACACGGAAAGGUGAAUUCAUUUUUGAUGAGUUAGUUUGGAGGUCCUUCCUCCAAGAUAAGCAGGAGUGCACACACAAUUAUGCUACACACAAUUAUGUGACUAUUGACUGUAAAAUGCAUGAUUUGGCAAAAGAUGUCAGAGAUGAAUGUGCAAGUAUAGAAGAAUUGACUCGGCAAAAAACAUUGUUAAAAAAUGUUUGUCACAUGCAAAUGUCAGAGGCUGAAUUGGAACAAAUCAGUGGGUUAUCCAAAGGCAGAACAAACCUCCGCACUUUGUUAGCUCCUUCAGAAUCACACAAGGGUUUUAAAAAGUUGCUACGGGCAUCAGCAUCACUAAGAGCAUUGCAUUGCUCCCCUUCUUCAGUUGCCAAUUGCAAGGCCAUAAACACGAAACAUCUACGAUAUCUUCACCUUUCUUGGUCUAACAUCACUAAGUUGCCAGAAUCAAUAUGUGUGAUGCAUAACCUGCAAACAUUGAGCCUCACUCAUUGUCAUAUGCUGCAGCAUUUACCAGAAGACAUGUCAGGAUUGAGAAAGCUCAUCCAUCUAUUUCUCUGUAGUAGUGCUCAUCUCAAAAGUAUGUCUCCAAACUUUGGUGUACUAAAGAACCUUCAUAUAUUAACAAAAUUUGUUGUGGAUACUGGAGAAGGCCUUGGAAUAGAGCAGCUCAAAGACUUGCAACACCUUAGCAAUAGGUUGGAACUAUUAAAUUUGAGCAAGACAAAAAGUGGGGAAAAUGCAAAAGAAGCCAAUCUCAAUCAGAAGCAAAAUCUAAGUGAGUUGUUGUUCUCUUGGGGCCAAGAAAUAGAUGACGAGUCUAAGGAUAUGGCAUGUAAUGUGGAAGAAGUUGGAGAUACGUAG